UACGUAGGUGGCAAGCGUUAUCCGGAUUUAUUGGGCGUAAAGAGAACGCAGGCGGUCUUUUAAGUCUGAUGUGAAAGCCUUCGGCUUAACCGGAGUAGUGCGUUGGAAACUGGGAGACUUGAGUGCAGAAGAGGAGAGUGGAACUCCAUGUGUAGCGGUGAAAUGCGUAGAUAUAUGGAAGAACACCAGUGGCGAAAGCGGCUCUCUGGUCUGUAACUGACGCUGAGGUUCGAAAGCGUGGGUAGCAAACAGG
rnacentral:rRNA from 1 species